UUGAACGCUGGCGGCAUGCUUUACGCAUGCAAGUCGAGCGGCAGCGCGGGGGUAACCCUGGCGGCGAGCGGCGAACGGGUGAGUAAUGUAUCGGAACGUACCCAGUCGUGGGGGAUAACUAAUCGAAAGGUUAGCUAAUACCGCAUACGACCUGAGGGUGAAAGCGGGGGACCGUAAGGCCUCGCGCGAUUGGAGCGGCCGAUAUCGGAUUAGCUUGUUGGUGAGGUAAAGGCUCACCAAGGCGACGAUCCGUAGCUGGUCUGAGAGGACGACCAGCCACACUGGAACUGAGACACGGUCCAGACUCCUACGGGAGGCAGCAGUGGGGAAUUUUGGACAAUGGGGGCAACCCUGAUCCAGCCAUUCCGCGUGAGUGAAGAAGGCAUUCGGGUUGUAAAGCUCUUUCAGCAGGAACGAAACGGUGGCUAUUAAUACUAGCUACUAAUGACGGUACCUGAAGAAGAAGCACCGGCUAACUACGU
rnacentral:rRNA from 1 species